CUCAUUGGAGUCCACCUGUGUAGGUUCGGACCCGAGGAACCGAGGACCCCAGCAGUGAGUUCAGCUGCUUCGGUGUUGUCAGAGUCAGCCAGAGGUGAGUGGAACUAAACUCAAUCCUUUAAAUUAAAUGUUUUACCAUGUUUCAUGCAUCAUGAUUAUGCAGUAGGAUGAUUGCAUUAGUAUUCACGAAUAUGCCGCAUUGCAUAAAUUGUUGUUGAUGUGGGUGAAUGUUGGAUGACCCAAUUAGUCCAAGACAGGAAGACCAGGACCCCAUGCUACGGCCUGGCACAGAGUAAGAAAGACCAGGCCCCAGUCUACAGGCCUGGCACAGAGUAAAACACAGUUAUGGGACUCGAAGACCAGGAGCCCAGAGGAGGCCCUGGAAAAUGGUAAGUAAUGUAUGUAUGACAGGAAGACCAGGACCCCAUGCUACGGCCUGGCACAGAGUUAACUUGGACUAUUUGGUGACAAGUUCACCCAACCCUUAUGUGAAUUGUUUGUGUUAUGAUGCAUUCCAUUUGAGCAUAGUGUUAAUGUGUUUUACUAGCUCUACUCACUGGGCUUUUAGCUCACCCCUCUCCCUUUUCCCCCAGGCUUACAGGUACAGGAUAUAGUGCGGGAGUUCGGAUAGAGUGAAGAAGUCAUGCUUAUGUAAUAGAUAGAAAUGGACAUGAUCAAAUUGUAAUGUAAAAGUACAGUAUAGUUAUGUAAUGAGUUGUAUGGAUGUUAGUAUGUGCUUGACCAUAGAUUGUUGUAUCCCUUUUAUACAUGAUCUUAGAGAUUUUGUUGAUGUUUAUGCAAACCAACUCAACAGAUGUAUGUUACCCAUUGAGGGCACAGAUGAGAUCCCACAGAGGGAUCAAAGUUAUGUUAAUGUUAUGCACAGGUUGAGUUUGG
rnacentral:lncRNA from 1 species